rnacentral:rRNA from 1 species
AUACGGAGGAUCCGAGCGUUAUCCGGAUUUAUUGGGUUUAAAGGGUGCGUAGGCGGACGAUUAAGUCAGCUGUGAAAUGCCCGCGCUUAACGCGGGAAGUGCAGUUGAUACUGGUUGUCUGGAGUGCCGUUGCCGUGGGGGGCAUGUGUAGUGUAGCGGUGAAAUGCAUAGAUAUGACACAGAACGCCGAUUGUGAAGACGCACCACAAGGCGGGAACGGCCGCUGAAGCCCGAAAGCGUUGUGAUCAAACAGGAUUAGAUACCCUGGUUGUCCACGCAGUAAACGAUGAGGACUAAACGGCGGGGAUAGACCGCCGGUGGCCAAGCGGAAGCGAUAAGUCAUCCACCUGGUGAGUACGACCGCAAGGUGGAAACUCAAAGGAAUUGACGGGG